GAUGAACGCUGGCGGCGUGCCUAAUACAUGCAAGUCGAGCGAACGGACGAGAAGCUUUCUUCUCUGAUGUAAGCGGCGGACGGGUGAGUAACACGUGGAUAACCUACCUAUAAGACUGGGAUAACUUCGGGAAACCUGAGCUAAGACCGGAUGAUAUUUUGAACUUCAUGGUUCAAAAGUGAAAGAAGGUCUUUCUUUCACUUAUAGAUGGAUCCGCGCUGCAUUAGCUAGUUGGUAAGGUAACGGCUUACCAAGGCAACGAUGCAUAGCCGACCUGAGAGCGUGAUCGACCACACUGGAACUGAGACACGGCCCAGACUCCUACGGGAGGCAGCAGUAGGGAAUCUUCCGCAAUGGGCGAAAGCCUGACGGAGCAACGCCGCGUGAGUGAUGAAGGUCUUCGGAUCGUAAAACUAUGUUAUUAGGGAAGAACAUAUGUGUAAGUAACUGUGCACAUCUUGACGGUACCUAAUCAGAAAGCCACGGCUAACUACGUG
rnacentral:rRNA from 1 species